rnacentral:rRNA from 1 species
CUGGUUGAUCCUGCCAGUAGUCAUAUGCUUGUCUCAAAGAUUAAGCCAUGCAUGUCUUAGUGUAAAUAACUCUUAUGAAACUGCGAAUGGCUCAUUAAAUCAGUUAUCGUUUAUUUGAUGGUCUCUUACUACAUGGAUAACCGUAGUAAUUCUAGAGCUAAUACAUGCACAAAGGCUCGACUCACGGAGAGCUGUAUUUAUUAGAUUCAAAGCCGACCUUGUUUUGGUGAUUCAUAAUAACUUGUCGAACCAUAUGCCCUUGCGGUGAUGGUGAUUCAUUAAAAUUUCUUCUCUAUCAACU